GUAGUAACGCGUGGGAACCUGCCUUUUUCUGCGGGAUAACGGUUGGAAACGACCGCUAAUACCGCAUACGCCCUACGGGGGAAAGGUCCGCCGGAGAAAGAGGGGCCCGCGUCUGAUUAGCUAGUUGGUAGGGUAAUGGCCUACCAAGGCGACGAUCAGUAGCUGGUCUGAGAGGAUGAUCAGCCACACUGGGACUGAGACACGGCCCAGACUCCUACGGGAGGCAGCAGUGGGGAAUAUUGGACAAUGGGGGCAACCCUGAUCCAGCAAUGCCGCGUGUGUGAUGAAGGCCUUAGGGUUGUAAAGCACUUUCACUGGUGAAGAUGAUGACGGUAACCAGAGAAGAAGCCCCGGCUAACUUCGUGCCAGCAGCCGCGGUAAUACGAAGGGGGCGAGCGUUGUUCGGAAUUACUGGGCGUAAAGGGCGCGUAGGCGGUCUUUUAAGUUAGGCGUGAAAGCCCCGGGCUCAACCUGGGAACUGCGCUUAAUACUGGAAGACUAGAAAACGGAAGAGGGUAGUGGAAUUCCCAGUGUAGAGGUGAAA
rnacentral:rRNA from 1 species